rnacentral:rRNA from 1 species
UACGGGGGGGGCAAGCGUUGUUCGGAAUUACUGGGCGUAAAGGGCUCGUAGGCGGCCAACUAGGUCAGACGUGAAAUCCCUCGGCUUAACCGGGGAACUGCGUCUGAUACUGGAUGGCUUGAGAUUGGGAGAGGGAUGCGGAAUUCCAGGUGUAGCGGUGAAAUGCGUAGAUAUCAGGAGGAACACCUGUGGUGUAGACGGCUCUCUGGACCGCAACUGACGCUGAGACACGAAAGCGUGGGUAGCAAACAGG